AAAGUUACAUAAGCGCACACAACGAAUGCCUUGACGCAAUUUACCGAUAAAGGACGUAAUAGGCUGCGAUAAGCCUCGGGGAGCUGCCCUUCAGCUUUGAACCGAGGAUUUCCGAAUGGGGAAACCCGGCUAGAGUCAUGUCUAGUCACUCUUAUCUGAAUAUAUAGGAUAGGUAGAGGUAACCGCCCGAACUGAAACAUCUAAGUAGGGCGAGGAAAAGAAAGUAAACAACGAUUCCGGGAGUAGUGGCGAGCGAAACUGGAAUAGCCCAAACCUAGUAAACUUUCAUUUAGUAAUAAAUGAAUAAGUUGGUAGACGAAUGUUUAAUAGGGGUUGUGACGUUGUAAAUAACCAGUACAGAGUAUUGAAUUUAUUCAGUAUUCUGUAGUGGGAACCGAGGCUACCAUUCCUCGGUGUAAGGAGUAGAAAAAGUGGCAAUGCAAGCAGAAGGAACUGGAAAGUUCCGCCAAAGACGGUGAUAGCCCGGUAUGCCAAGUAUUGCUAACCUUAUUUUUACAAUAGUCGAGUAGGACGGGGCACGAGAAACCCUGUUUGAAUCCGGGACGACCACGUUCCAAGGCUAAAUAUAAAUUGCGAUCGAUAGUGAACUAGUACCGCGAGGGAAAGGUUAAAAGAACCCCGGAAGGGGAGUGAAAUAGAUUCUGAAAUUGUGUGCGUACAAGGACUCGGAGGGCUUCGGCCUGACGGGGUGCUUUUUGUAGAACGAUCCAACGAGUUAAUUGUUAGUGCAGCCUAAGGCAAUUGCCGGAGGCACAGUGAAAGCGAGGCUGAAUAGGCCGCCAUUGUACUAAUGAUUAGACCCGAAACCAGGUGACCUUACCAUGAGCAGGAUGAAGCAGCGGUAAAACGCUGUGGAGGUCCGAACCGUAGCGAGUUGCAACACGCCCGGAUGACUUGUGGUAAGCGGUGAAAUGCCAAUCGAACCUGGAGAUAGCUGGUUCUCCUCGAAAUAGCUUUAGGGCUAGCGUCGUACGGUAACAUGCAGGGGUAGAGCUCUGAUUCGGACUGCGGCCAGUAAUGGUACGCACCCUUGUCAAACUACGAAUACUGCAUGCGGAACUACGGCAGUCAGAACGGCGGGGCUAAGCUCGUCGCUCAAAAGGGAAACAGCCCAGACCAUCAGCUAAGGUCCCUAAAUAUACACUCAGUGGGAAACGAGGUGAGAUUUCUUAAACAAUGAGGAUGUUGGCUUAGAAGCAGCCAUUCAUUUAAAGAGUGCGUAACAGCUCACUCAUCAAGAGAUCUUGCGCGGAAAAUGUAACGGGGCUAAAGUGUAUUACCGAAGCUAUGGGUUCGUAUUUAUACGAGCGGUAGAGGAGCGUUCCUAUUGCGCUGAAGUUGAACCGCGAGGUUUGGUGGAGCGGUAGGAAGUGAGAAUGUUGGAAUAAGUAACCAUAAGGCAGGUGAGAAUCCUGCCCACCGAAAGAGCAAGGUUUCCUGGGCCACGGUAAUCGUCCCAGGGUUAGUCGGUCCUAAGCCGAGGCGCGUAGCGUAGGCGAUGGACAACGGGUUAAUAUUCCCGUACCGGUGAUAAAUUGUUAGGAGUGCGCGGCAAAGUAGUAAGAGCGGGUUCAUGGUUAUACCCGUUUAACAGUGUGUUAUGCACUGGAAUAAGAUGCUCUUUUAGAGCAGAUUCGUACGAUAAUGCUGACCAGAAAAGCUUUCUAACGCGUGUUUAUCAUCGUCCGUACCGCAAACCGACACAGGUGCUCAGGUCGAGAAGACCAAGGUGUACGAGUGAUUCUUCGUUAAGGAACUCGGCAAUACAGCGACCGUAACUUCGGGAUAAGGUCUGCCCCAGCAAUGGGGCCGCAGCUAAAGAUUCCACGCAACUGUUUACCAAAAACAUAGGUCUCUGCUAACACGAAAGUGGAUGUAUAGGGGCUGACUCCUGCCCAGUGCUGGAAGGUUAAGGGGAGAGCUUCACGGCUUGAACUGAAGCCCCAGUGAACGGCGGCGGUAACUAUAACCGUCCUAAGGUAGCGAAAUUCCUUGUCAGGUAAGUUCUGACCCGCACGAAUGGAGUAAUGAUGUGGAAACUGUCUCAACGAAGAGCUCGGUGAAAGUGCAUUGACGGUAAAGAUGCCGUCUGUCCGCAGCAGGACGAAAAGACCCUAUGGAGCUUUACUACAGCUUGACAUUGGAUCGGAUUGUAACAUGUGUAGCAUAGGUGGGAGACUAUGAAGCCAUCGCGCUAGCGAUGGUGGAGUCAAAAUAUGAAAUACCACCCUUGUUCCAAUCUUAUUCUUACCCCGACCGUUAUCCGGUCAGGGGACCGUGUCUGGUGGGUAGUUUAACUGGGGCGGUUGCCUCCUAAAGAGUAUCGGAGGCGUUCAAAGGUUAGCUAGGUACGGAUGGAAAUCGUGCCGAUAGUGCAUACGCAUAAGCUAGCUUGACUGUGAGGCCGACAAGCCAAUCAGGGACGAAAGUCGGAGUAAGUGACCCGCUGUAUUAGCAUUUAUGCUUAUGAAAGUGGGAUCGACAGCGCAAACGGAUAAAAGUUACCCUAGGGAUAACAGGCUUAUCGGGCCCAAUAGUUCACAUAGACGGCCCGGUUUGGCACCUCGAUGUCGGCUCAUCACAUCCUGGGACUGGAGCAGGCCCCAAGGGUCCGGCUGUUCGCCGGUUAAAGUGGUACGUGAGCUGGGUUCAGAACGUCGUGAGACAGUUCGGUUUAUAUCCGCUGUGGACGUCAGGAAAUUUGAGGAGAUUUGCCCUUAGUACGAGAGGACCGGGGUGAACGUACCGCUGGUGUAUCAGUUGUCAUACCAAUGGCAUCGCUGAGUAGCUAUGUACGGGAAAGAUAAGCGCUGAAAGCAUAUUAAGCGCGAAACUGACUUCAAGAUGAGAUUUCCCUAUGGAGCCCCCUGAAAGACUAUCAGGUUGAUAGGCACCAAGUGUAAGCACGGCAACGUGUUCAGCUGAGGUGUACUAAUAGGGCCAUCGAUUUU
rnacentral:rRNA from 1 species